rnacentral:rRNA from 1 species
AGGAAGGUAGUGUAGUUAACACCUGCACUAUUUGACGUUACCUACAGAAGAAGCACCGGCUAACUCCGUGCCAGCAGCCGCGGUAAUACGGGAGGGUGCGAGCGUUAAUCGGAAUUACUGGGCGUAAAGCGCAUGCAGGCGGCCUGUUAAGUCAGAUGUGAAAGACCCGGGGCGUUAACCUACGGUAAUUGCAUUUAGUAAACUGGCGAGGCUAGAGUCUUGUAGAGGGGGGUAGGAAUUUCAGGUGUAGCGGUGAAAUGCGUAGAGAUCUGAAGGAAUACCAGUGGCGAAGGCGGCCCCCUGGACAAAGACUGACGCUCAGAUGCGAAAGCGUGGGGAGCAAACAGGAUUAGAUACCCUGGUAG